GACCCUAGAGGGAGCGCCGUUUUUUACAUGCUAAAAAACCCAUUAGCUUUCUUCUUCUUUUUCAUGGAAAAAUUAACCUAAAAAGGACCUAGAUCUCUAAGAGUUCAGCCGCAAAGGAUCAUAGAGGACCCCCGCCCCUCCUGUUCUUCACCUUCUUCAACGUUUGAGGAUAGCAUCCAUGACCAUCUUCUUCAACAACAAAAUCAUAGAUCCUAAGUCCUGACACACACAGUCGUUCUUCAUCAGCUGGACAAAAUAAACCAGCGAGAAUGGCAGUCGUUCCCUCUUAAGCUUCAGCUACAGAACCUCUAAGUUAGAUCAUCUCUUUCACCUAAAAAAAUGAUAGAGAAAGAAGCGGCCAAAAAGAUCCCUCAAACUUAAGACUAAAGACCAUCGUUUCCCCCACCCUAUCGCCAUCGCUUCUCUCAACUUGGAGGCAAACAUCCGCCACUGCUUCUUCUUCUCCGGUUGAAAUUCCAGCAAGCUCGAAUUCUAAGUAUCUCAGAGUUGAGUUUGAGUUCGGGUCCAACAAGAUGAGCCGAGGUUGAUUCUGGUUUGAGUUCGAGGUUUCCAUUGAGGUCUUCGGUCGCCGGCUUUUACUUGUAUAUCCAAACAGAAAUCGUUAAAUACCAUUGAAGGUAAAAUGUUCAUGUGAUCUUCUUCUUAGAUAUGUGAUGAAUUUGCAGUGUUUUUUUGUGGUUUAUAAUGUUGUUAAAUGAAAUAAUUCCAGCUGUGAAUACAAUCUUUAUUAACUCUAUACUCUAAUGGCUACUUAAUAACUUUAAUCUCUCUUCAGAUUUCUGUUCGUUUUCUGUUAUUUAUUUUCUAUCCCUUUUACUAUUAUUCUUCUUCUAUGUCAUUUUUGGGUUUAUCACUUUAUUUUUUAAAUAAUUUCAUUAGGAGUAGGAUGAAUUUAAUGGCAUAAUAUUACAAAAGGCAUAUGAGGGUAGUAACUAGUAAAGUGUACGAAAUGUGCAUGCACUAAAAGAAAAAGGAAGUCGAUUGUCCUUGAAACCGUUGUUGCCAUGUUUGUCAUGUUAAAGUGAAUUUAAAUGAAUUUGUGUUUGUCUAUUUGGUCUAUAUUUUCCAUGAAUUUGUUUCAUAUGAAUGCCUUAUGGGGCCGUGGGAUUUGGAUUUAGGCGCAUUUUGGAUUUAUUAUCGUAGUUGUGGACACGUUCGCGUGACAUGAUUAUGAUUUCUAAAAACAAAACUGGAGUAUGCGUUCACGCAACAUCGGCCAAAGUUUCUUAAUAAUAAUAAGUUGUUAUUAAUUGUGGAUACGUUCGCGUGACAUGAUUUUUGACGCGCCAAACAAAUGGGUAUACGUACGCGUGACCCGUUUCAAGAUAAUUUCCUAAUUAAAAGAGGCAAAUGCACAUAGGUUCUAAAAUCAGUAAUCAAACAAUUUGUUUAAUCCAAGUAUGAUCAAAGCGACCGUGCUAGAACCACGGAACUCGGGAAUGCCUAACACCUUCUCCCGGGUUAACAGAAUUCCUUACCCGGAUUUCUGUGUUUGCAGACCGUGAAUAGAGUCAAACUUCCUCGAUUCGGGAUUCUAAACCGGUGACUUGGGACAUCAUAAAUUAUCCCAAGUAGCAACUCUGAAUUUAAUAUGAAUAAUGUCGUUUCGAUUGUCAUUUAAAUUGGAAAAAAUUCCCUUAUACCCCAUUCUCGGAUGUAGUAAAAAGGAAGUGUGACACUGUGUUCCUCUAUUACUUCAUCUGGUUCUUACUGCUCUAAAUCCUCUCUAUAAAUGUUACGUUUGUCAUCAUUAAAUGUUCUUGACUUAUGUUUUGAUAAUCUAACAAACUUACUGUUAAGAACCAGAUAGGGAACCUGACCUACUCGGACUACUGCAAGCUUAACAAAUUCCAGCUAAAGGUGAACUGCUACAGUUUCAAGAGCUAGGAACCCAAACCAGGACCUGAUACCCUUGUGGUUUCCUCAUAAGCAGUACAAAGUCAAUUGAACACAGCUGAAAACGAAGUGACUGACUGCACUGUUUCUGCCGCACUGUAUUGUUUCCAGCGCCCACUCAUUCUCUGACCAACUAAAGUGCUCACAUCAUUUCAAGUGAUAUGAUCUAGGUGUACCUACAACGAUUUUAUACAAAACAUCACUUGAAUGUUUCAGUUUCUUAUUCAAGCUUCUUGCAAAAAUAGAGAAAUCAAUCCUCACAAGCUUGAAGAACAAAGUUGAACGCAACUACGGACCAGUUCCUAAAGAUAGCUUGUUGUUGUCCUAGUUAAGUUGUAACUUUGCGAUUGUACUUAUUGUAUCUCCUAACUGCUUAGCUAGAAGCGUUUGAUUAGGAUUCCUCCUUGAGUUUAUGUUGUGACUAGGUUCAGUCAUAAGCAAAAGUCUUUGUAACUAUAGAGUUACAAAGUGGCUUGUGGUGAGAACAUCACAAGUUAGUAAAAGUCUUUAUAACUAGGAGGUCAC
rnacentral:lncRNA from 1 species